UCUGGUCCAUGUAUGAGAUCCCACACGAUUUUACGGUCAAUUUGGGCAACGAGAGAUUGAAGGCCCGUUUCCAUUGCUACAAUCAUUCAUUCUCCAACUCCCAAUGCUUCAGCUUCAGCGAGCUCGGAGUUCCGGUGAGAUCUCUGAUAACAUUUCGAUUGAGCAGAGCUGCAUCACUGUUCAGCUUAAACAUUGGUGGAUUUGGAACCUUCCAUUGCGUCAGGGGAAAUGCCAGCAGAGGCUCCUAUUGGGACACUUGAAAUUCAAUAUGAUAGAAUUUCAUAGCCAUUGGCCUUUUUUUGUUCCAGUGUUGAACAAUGAUACCAAUUACCAUUCAUCAGUAUAUAUGGUUACAGAGUUUAUUUCAAACAAGCUGUCUCCCAGAGUGGGAUAUCAUACACUGGCAUUCAUUAUUUACCUUACAAGCUUCUUCCCGCUCAUACACGGCAUCAGCAUCUUUCCAAAUGUGUCCUAUAACCAGAAAAUUAUUGGUUUAUUUUAUGGCUUACUUCCGUUGGAUCACUAGGCCAGUGCUGGGGUAAGCACAAUUAGAAGGGCUCUUGAUGCUGAAAGCUUUUAUCAUGUCUCCAUCGAGUCUUACUUGACAAAGUUUCGGGCGAAUCCUUGACGAUCAAGGUUAGAGGGGUUCUCAAUUUGAUUGAUGAAGAAAAGGUCAUAAUGGAGUGCCUCAUGUGUCUCCUCCAACGUGCAGGAGCAGGCAUAAUCCUCACAUAUUUUGCUCUACAUGCAGCUAGAUCUUUCUGCGGUGAGGAGGUACCUCUCGGCGAUGGUUGCAUGAGUUGCAGCGCCGAUCGGGAGGACAUUUUCGUCGAUCAUGAAGUAGGGAGAGUGGCCUGUGUGGAUCGAGCCUAAUGUUUCGUUCCUGACUCCUAUGUAAUAGAAGGCUGCAG